rnacentral:rRNA from 1 species
GUUUGUUAAGUCAGAUGUGAAAUCCCCGGGCUCAACCUGGGAACUGCAUCUGAUACUGGCAAGCUUGAGUCUCGUAGAGGGGGGUAGAAUUCCAGGUGUAGCGGUGAAAUGCGUAGAGAUCUGGAGGAAUACCGGUGGCGAAGGCGGCCCCCUGGACGAAGACUGACGCUCAGGUGCGAAAGCGUGGGGAGCAAACAGGAUUAGAUACCCUGGUAGUCCACGCCGUAAACGAUGUCGACUUGGAGGUUGUGCCCUUGAGGCGUGGCUUCCGGAGCUAACGCGUUAAGUCGACCGCCUGGGGAGUACGGCCGCAAGGUUAAAACUCAAAUGAAUUGACGGGGGCCCGCACAAGCGGUGGAGCAUGUGGUUUAAUUCGAUGCAACGCGAAGAACC